AUACUGACAGACCAACCUAUCAAUGACAAUGAAAAUCAAAUUGAGACGGAAAAUUGCUCUGCCAUGCUUGGAGAAGAGAUUACCGAUGAGGGCAGUGUGGAACAAGACAUGAAGAGUGACUCAGAAAAUGAACAUACUGAAAAUCAUCAGACUGAACAAAUACCUUUGAAGUCAGAAGGGACACAAUUUGGAGGUGAAAUUGGGACACAUCCGCAGGAAGUCCCAAUGAUGACUGAAGUGUAUCAAGGAAAUGACAUGAUGCC